rnacentral:rRNA from 1 species
GAUGAACGCUGGCGGCGUGCCUAAUACAUGCAAGUCGAGCGAACGGACGAGAAGCUUGCUUCUCUGAUGUUAGCGGCGGACGGGUGAGUAACACGUGGAUAACCUACCUAUAAGACUGGGAUAACUUCGGGAAACCGGAGCUAAUACCGGAUAAUAUUUUGAACCGCAUGGUUCAAAAGUGAAAGACGGUCUUGCUGUCACUUAUAGAUGGAUCCGCGCUGCAUUAGCUAGUUGGUAAGGUAACGGCUUACCAAGGCAACGGUGCAUAGCCGACCUGAGAGGGUGAUCGGCCACACUGGAACUGAGACACGGUCCAGACUCCUACGGGAGGCAGCAGUAGGGAAUCUUCCGCAAUGGGCGAAAGCCUGACGGAGCAACGCCGCGUGAGUGAUGAAGGUCUUCGGAUCGUAAAACUCUGUUAUUAGGGAAGAACAUAUGUGUAAGUAACUGUGCACAUCUUGACGGUACCUAAUCAGAAAGCCACGGCUAACUACGUGCCAGCAGCCGCGGUAAUACGUAGGUGGCAAGCGUUAUCCGGAAUUAUUGGGCGUAAAGCGCGCGUAGGCGGUUUUUUAAGUCUGAUGUGAAAGCCCACGGCUCAACCGUGGAGGGUCAUUGGAAACUGGAAAACUUGAGUGCAGAAGAGGAAAGUGGAAUUCCAUGUGUAGCGGUGAAAUGCGCAGAGAUAUGGAGGAACACCAGUGGCGAAGGCGACUUUCUGGUCUGUAACUGACGCUGAUGUGCGAAAGCGUGGGGAUCAAACAGGAUUAGAUACCCUGGUAGUCCACGCCGUAAACGAUGAGUGCUAAGUGUUAGGGGGUUUCCGCCCCUUAGUGCUGCAGCUAACGCAUUAAGCACUCCGCCUGGGGAGUACGACCGCAAGGUUGAAACUCAAAGGAAUUGACGGGGACCCGCACAAGCGGUGGAGCAUGUGGUUUAAUUCGAAGCAACGCGAAGAACCUUACCAAAUCUUGACAUCCUUUGACAACUCUAGAGAUAGAGCCUUCCCCUUCGGGGGACAAAGUGACAGGUGGUGCAUGGUUGUCGUCAGCUCGUGUCGUGAGAUGUUGGGUUAAGUCCCGCAACGAGCGCAACCCUUAAGCUUAGUUGCCAUCAUUAAGUUGGGCACUCUAAGUUGACUGCCGGUGACAAACCGGAGGAAGGUGGGGAUGACGUCAAAUCAUCAUGCCCCUUAUGAUUUGGGCUACACACGUGCUACAAUGGACAAUACAAAGGGCAGCGAAACCGCGAGGUCAAGCAAAUCCCAUAAAGUUGUUCUCAGUUCGGAUUGUAGUCUGCAACUCGACUACAUGAAGCUGGAAUCGCUAGUAAUCGUAGAUCAGCAUGCUACGGUGAAUACGUUCCCGGGUCU